rnacentral:rRNA from 1 species
GACGAAGGAUGCAAGCGUUAUCCGGAUUCAUUGGGUUUAAAGGGAGCGUAGGCGGGUAUGUAAGUCAGUGGUGAAAUCUCAUAGCUUAACUAUGAAACUGCCAUUGAUACUGCGUACCUAGAGUACAGUUGCCGUUGGCGGAAUAUGACAUGUAGUGGUGAAAUACUUAGAUAUGUCAUAGAACACCGAUUGCGAAGGCAGCUAACGAAGCUGUAACUGACGCUGAGGCUCGAAAGUGCGGGGAGCAAACAGG